UCUCCGUAGGUGAACCUGCGGAGGGAUCAUUACAGAGUUCUCGCCCUCGCGGGUAGAUCUCCCACCCACUGUUAUCGUUACUGUGUUGCUUUGGCGGGCCGCCGGGCCCCGCUCGGCCGCCGGCUCCGGCUGGCGCGCGCCCGCCAGAGGCCCAGCAAACUCUGAAUGUUAGUGUCGUCUGAGUACUAUAUAAUAGUUAAAACAUUCAACAACGGAUCUCUUGGUUCUG
rnacentral:misc_RNA from 1 species